rnacentral:rRNA from 2 species
AGGUGCGAUCAUACCAGCACUAAUGCACCGGAUCCCAUUAGAACUCCGCAGUUAAGCGUGCUUGGGCGAGAGUAGUACUAGGAUGGGUGACCUCCUGGGAAGUCCUCGUGUUGCAUUGU